ACCUAUAGAUGGUUCAGCUGAUAGAGCAUGAGGUGCUUAAUCUCAAGGUCAUGGUUUUGAGUCCCACACUGGGCA